rnacentral:rRNA from 1 species
CCUACGGGCGACUGCAGUGGGGAAUAUUGCACAAUGGGGGAAACCCUGAUGCAGCGACGCAGCGUGAGCGAAGAAGGAUUUCGGUGUGGAAAGCUCUAUCAGCAGGGAAGAAAAUGACUGUACCUGAGGAAGAAGCUCCGGCUAAAUACGUGCCCGCAGCCGCGGUAAUACGUAAGGAGCAAGCGUUAUCCGGAUGUACUGGGUGUAAAGGGAGCGCAGGCGGCCUUGCAAGUCUGAUGUGAAAUACCGGGGCUCAACCCCGGAGCUGCAUUGGAAACUGUGAGGCUGGAGUGUAGGAGAGGCAGGCGGAAUUCCUAGUGUAGCGGUGAAAUGCGUAGAUAUCAGGAGGAACACCAGUGGCGAAGGCGGCCCGCUGGACGAUGACUGACGCUGAGGCUCGAAAGCGUGGGGAGCAAACAGGAUUAGAUACCCUUGUAGUC